rnacentral:rRNA from 1 species
GACGAACGCUGGCGGCGUGCUUAACACAUGCAAGUCGUACGGUAAGGCCCUUUCGGGGGUACACGAGUGGCGAACGGGUGAGUAACACGUGAGUAACCUGCCCACAACUUUGGGAUAACGCUAGGAAACUGGUGCUAAUACUGGAUAUGUGCUCCUGCUGCAUGGUGGGGGUUGGAAAGCUCCGGCGGUUGUGGAUGGACUCGCGGCCUAUCAGCUUGUUGGUGGGGUAGUGGCCUACCAAGGCGGCGACGGGUAGCCGGCCUGAGAGGGUGACCGGCCACAGUGGGACUGGGAUACGGCCCAGACUCCUACGGGAGGCAGCAGGGGGGAAUAUUGCACAAUGGGCGCAAGCCUGAUGCAGCAACGCCGCGUGCGGGAUGACGGCCUUCGGGUUGUAAACCGCUUUCAGCAGGGACGAAGCUUUUUGUGACGGUACCUGCAGAAGAAGCACCGGCUAACUACGUG